rnacentral:rRNA from 1 species
GAAUUUUCCGCAAUGGGCGAAAGCCUGACGGAGCAACGCCGCGUGAGGGAAGAAGGCCUCUGGGCUGUAAACCUCUUUUCUCAAGGAAGAAGAUCUGACGGUACUUGAGGAAUAAGCCACGGCUAAUUCCGUGCCAGCAGCCGCGGUAAUACGGGAGUGGCAAGCGUUAGCCGGAAUUAUUGGGCGUAAAGCGUCCGCAGGCGGCCUUUCAAGUCUGCUGUUAAAGCGUGGAGCUUAACUCCAUUAAGGCAGUGGAAACUGUUGGGCUUGAGUGUGGUAGGGGCAGAGGGAAUUCCCGGUGUAGCGGUGAAAUGCGUAGAUAUCGGGAAGAACACCAGUGGCGAAGGCGCUCUGCUGGGCCAUAACUGACGCUCAUGGACGAAAGCCAGGGGAGCGAAAGGGAUUAGAUACCCCUGUAGUC